GGCACUUGUCUGUGUUUCUGUCUUAGCUUGUGCACUAAGACUUAAUGGACAGGUGCAAAAUUAAAAAAUCCUCUUCUGCAACCCAGAACUCAUUGUUCACUAUGAGUUUUGAUACAUAUAAGAAGGAAUAUU
ensembl:snoRNA